rnacentral:rRNA from 1 species
AGUGAACGCUGGCGGUAGGCCUAACACAUGCAAGUCGAACGACAGCACAGAGGAGCUUGCUCCUUGGGUGGCGAGUGGCGGACGGGUGAGGAAUACAUCGGAAUCUACUCUGUCGUGGGGGAUAACGUAGGGAAACUUACGCUAAUACCGCAUACGACCUACGGGUGAAAGCAGGGGAUCUUCGGACCUUGCGCGAUUGAAUGAGCCGAUGUCGGAUUAGCUAGUUGGCGGGGUAAAGGCCCACCAAGGCGACGAUCCGUAGCUGGUCUGAGAGGAUGAUCAGCCACACUGGAACAGGGACACGGUCCAGACUCCUACGGGAGGCAGCAGUGGGGAAUAUUGGACAAUGGGCGCAAGCCUGAUCCAGCCAUACCGCGUGGGUGAAGAAGGCCUUCGGGUUGUAAAGCCCUUUUGUUGGGAAAGAAAUCCAUCUGGUUAAUACCCGGGUGGGAUGACGGUACCCAAAGAAUAAGCACCGGCUAACUUCGUGCCAGCAGCCGCCGUAA